CCCCGAAAGUUUCUCGAGCUGAAAUUAUACUAACUCGAUACCCAUAAUAUGAUGUUGCAAUAUUAUAUUAAGAUAUAGUUUCAGAGGCUACAUACCCCCGCGAAGACUGAUAGCUGGUUACCUUAAUUUUUGAUCUUAGUCAAAAAAGCAAAUUGCUAUUAAGACAUUAAAGGCAAAGCUUUAAUGUUUCUUCUAUUACCUUCCAUUCUUGUUAUUAUUAUAGGCUUAAGACUAGCCAUUUAUAAUUUGUUACAAAAUCAAUUAUAGUUUACACUUAAUACUACUUAUUUUGAAUGACUAAAGGUAAUAUUUACAUUUAAUAAAUUUUCUAUAAUGUUAUAACUAGUAAUAGCCCCCUUCAUAUUUUUUAUUUAACUUAAAAUUUUCAAUCACUGUAACUUCUAACUCCCACUAAGGAACUCGGCAAACAUUUAUUUAGCCUGUUUAACAAAAACACCGCCUAUUGAAUAUAUAAUAGGUCCAUCCUGCCCAGUGAAUAAAUUUUCAACGGCCGCGGUACCCUGACCGUGCAAAGGUAGCAUAAUCAUUUGCCUUUUAAUUGGAGGCUAGUAUGAAAGGACACACAAGAAUAAAGCUGUCUCAGUGGGAUUCAAUUUAAACUGAUUUUCAGGUGAAGACUCCUGAAUUAUAAUAAAGGACAAGAAGACCCUAUAGAGCUUUAUUAAUAAAAGUAAUAAGACUUAUCAUUAAUUUGGUUGGGACAACCAAAAGACAAUACAACCUCUUUUUCGCCUAUAUACAACUCUUACCCUUCAAUGUAAUAGAAUUUCAAGCUACCUUAGGGAUAACAGGCUAAUCCUACUAGAGAGACCACAUUGACAGUAGGGAUUGGCACCUCGAUGUUGGCUUAGUGUAACCAUUAGGCGCAGCCGCCUAAUAGAGUUGGUUUGUUCAACCAUUAAUCCACUACAUGAGCUGAGUUCAGACCGGCGUAAGCCAGGUUAGAUUCUAUCCUUAUUAUUUGUUAUAUUAAAUCAUAGUACGAAAGGACCUGA
rnacentral:rRNA from 1 species